CGAAAAAUAACGAUACGGGACUCAUCCGAGGCCCCGUAAUCGGAAUGAGUACACUCUAAACCCUUUAACGAGGAUCAAUUGGAGGGCAAGUCUGGUGCCAGCAGCCGCGGUAAUUCCAGCUCCAAUAGCGUAUAUUAAAGUUGUUGCGGUUAAAAAGCUCGUAGUCGAAUUUGUGUCCCGCGCCGCCGGUUCAUCGCUCGCGGUGUCAACUGGCGUGUCCGCGGGACGUCCUGCCGGUGGGCUUAGCCCCUGCGGGCGGCCCAAUCUCAAUCCCACCGCGGUGCUCUUCACUGAGUGUCGAGGUGGGCCGGCACGUUUACUUUGAACAAAUUAGAGUGCUUAAAGCAGGCUAAAACAUCGCCUGAAUACUGUGUGCAUGGAAUAAUGGAAUAGGACCUCGGUUCUAUUUUGUUGGUUUUCGGAACCCCGAGGUAAUGAUUAAUAGGAACGGAUGGGGGCAUUCGUAUUGCGACGUUAGAGGUGAAAUUCUUGGAUCGUCGCAAGACGGACAGAAGCGAAAGCAUUUGCCAAAAACGCUUUCAUUGAUCAAGAACGAAAGUUAGAGGUUCGAAGGCGAUCAGAUACCGCCCUAGUUCUAACCAUAAACGAUGCCAGCUAGCGAUCCGCCGACGUUCCUCCGAUGACUCGGCGGGCAGCUUCCGGGAAACCAAAGCUUUUGGGUUCCGGGGGAAGUAUGGUUGCAAAGCUGAAACUUAAAGGAAUUGACGGAAGGGCACCACCAGGAGUGGAGCCUGCGGCUUAAUUUGACUCAACACGGGAAACCUCACCAGGCCCGGACACCGGAAGGAUUGACAGAUUGAGAG
rnacentral:rRNA from 1 species